AAACUUAAAUUUCUAUUACCUACCUUGUGUAGCCUUUGUUAUCCAUCCUAGCCCUGAAAAGGAGGUCCUCUUUUUCACUCUGACGUUCCCUUCAUGAAAAGGCUUCAUUCCUCCAUAGGGAUUCACUUUAGCCCACAUGUUCUUAUUCCCUUCAACCUGCCAGCUCCAAAGCGGGCUGUUUUUCACAAGUUCUGCCCCCAGAUCUAUAGCCUAACAUUUCAAACAAAUUAUUCAGCCCAUGAAUUCAGCAUUUCAAACAAAUUAUUUUGGCACAAAUGAAAGGUUAAGUGGAAUGGGUCUUAUUGACAUCUUCCAAUAUUCAGCCCAUUUUUUAUCUAUAGCUCAUUGAUUUCAGAUUUGACACAGAUAUAAAGACAUACUAAAGAGCAUGAAAUGUGUUAUUAGUCAAAAGAAGAGCUCCUCCAUCAUUCUUCUUGGCUAAGCAUAUCCAGGAACACAUAUACAAGUGACUAUCCAAUCAGCCUCUUCUGAACUAAUUUCAUCCUAACUCUAACUGUAAGGUAGAACAUUGUUCCAUUCUUAAACUUGGCAUUCCCACGAUACUGACUUUAAGUUAAAAUUUAGAAGCAUCUUAGUUUUCUUACAGCUUUGCAAGAACAAGAUUCAUAACCUUGAUCGAAGAUUUUUGAUUCAAAAAGCUUAUCAUCUAUAUCUAAAUCUGAAAUUUGGAGGUCACCAGAAAUACUAAGCUUUAUCUUCUUCAAUUUGAAGUGUUUGAGGAAACACUAUUGGGCAAGGACAGUUUUCAUUCUGGCCAACGAUAGUGACACACUUGUGUAAAGAAUGUAUUCAUUAACUAUAUCAUUGUUGGCCUCUUCUAAUGCCUUCAGCACUUUCUGAUCAAGAAAUUUAUUAUUCUCCCCCCUUUUUUUCUUACUCUGAAGUUACAUGGUUACAAUUUCUUCAGAAAUGGGCUUAAAAGACUUGCUCUGCCCUUAUGCACUCAUUAAAUAUCAAAAUCCUCACCAAAACUGCCAUGGUAUUAGAGCAAUGUAAGAGCCAUGUGACUCACCAACAAUUCUAUUUCUCUGUUUCUCUAACAACUGCAGUCAGUGACAUAGGUGCCAUUCGAAAUUCUUUCUUCAUCUGCUAUAGGCUGAUAAGAUCAAGUAAAGCAGCUUUAUUCACUUCGUGCAAUCCAACUUCAUUAAAAAGAGGAAAUGUAAAAGGAUCAGUUCAUACUAAAAAUACCUUAGUGGUACUUCAUCACUUGUGUUUAAAUAUAAUCUUUGAAAAAAGCAGUAGCAGGUUCUAUAAGAGAGAAGAAAGAGAAAGAUAUUCCUGUUGAUGAAAAUGAUGACAGAUAAAAUGUGUUUGAAGGCUAUAAAAGCUCCUUACAUCUGGAGCAGCUGGCAGCCUGGGAUUGGACUCUAAGGGGAGCUCAUAGAUAUCUAAUUUGAGCAAUGGUUAAAAGUAAACUUGGGAACAGCUGAUUCAGUGCAGUUAUCUCUGGCUCUGGGAAGUUUUUGUGAUGUUCAGAGGCUGGCACAUAAAAAUCCACAUGACACAUAUUUGCUGAGUCUAAUAUCCUUAUGAAAAUGAACAGGGAUGAUUUACAGGAAUAUGUUAGACACAGAUGUUCUUAUAUAAACCAGGAUAUAACAUGAUAUAGAAGGUAAUGAGCCAUUAAAAUGAGCAGAAAUACUUGCUAAUGUUUCAAUAAUUACGUACAUUAAAAUACACAAAUAGCAUACAAAUAUCAGUGGCGUAGAAAUCAAUUGGAUUAGAUAAAUUGUUAGUCAUUCAGCAAAUAAUUAUGGCGUACCACAAAUAAGGCAUCUUGCUACAGUUCACAAGACACAGAAUCUCUGUACCUCAAGUGUAUUUCAGGAUCACACACCAAGGAUACUUUCUCUAAAAUGAAGACACCUAGUACUGUAAUAAAAGCAGAGAUGGGGAGGACCAGGGCCACAAACUAUUUAAGCUCUUGUGAUUUUAAGCACUAGUGGUGAUUUUUAGCUCAUAUUCCACAUUGGCGCUUUCAGGAAUGAGGAAGAGGAAAAGGCAAGGGAAAGGUGACACUUAGUUAGAUAAACUUACACGACAGGAUUCUGAUAGGAUGAGUCUCCAAGCUUCAUUAGGAAUCUUCAUUCCAAGCUCUCAUACACGCUACCCUCAUGAUGCUUAACCUUUAGAGAAUAUAAUAAGCAUACACAAAUUUCUCUAAUAUGAAGUGGUCUGGAUACCUGUGACGUGAGUCAAUAAAAUAAAUACAGCUAGAAAGGUAGCAGUGGGGAUGGAAAGAAUGAAAUGACUGAGGAAUCACUGCUUAGAAAGAAGCAACGUAAGGGUUUUUUUAAGAUUGUUACAGGUGGUCCAGUGUGGUGGCUCAUGCCUGUAAUCCCAAUAAUUUCAGAGUCCGAGACAAGUGAAUUAUCUGAGGUCAGGAGUUCAAGACCAGCCUGGCCAACAGGAUGAAAUCCCGUCUCUACUAAAAAUACAAAUUAGCCUGUAAUCCCAGCUACACUGGAGGCUGAGGCAGGAGAAUCGCUUGAGCCCGGGAGGUGAAGAUUGCAGAGAGCUGAGAUCAUGCCACCUUACUCCUGGGCUAUAGAGCAAGACUGUCUCAAAAUAUAUAUAUAUAUAUCAUUGCAGGGGAUGAAAGAAAAGUAAGAGGCGCAGCUCAGGAUUCUGAAUCUCUACCUGAGAGAUAAGAAGAAUGGUGGCACUAUUGGGGAAGAUGUGAGAAAACGUGAGUUUGAAGUAGAGUUGCAGCAUCCUGAGGUCAAUGAGCUGCCGGGGUUUCUGUGUAGAAAUAGCCAGCAGACCUUCGGAAAUGCAUAAAUGAAGCUCGAAAGCAUUACCAGCACAGGAAUCACAUGCUUGAUUUUAAUCUGCUUGGAAAGGAUACUUGAAUACAUGGGUGAGGGUGGAAAUAUAUGCAAAAUAACAUGGAAAGGAUAAGAAAACAGACCAGAAUGAGCUGUCCAUCGCACUGAAGCAAGAGCUGAUGCAGGAGUGAAAGAGUGAUAAGGUUAAUGAGCCAUGUGCACUAACACAGAAGCCAAGACAGCAAGGAGAUUUGAGAACUGGAUGAUUUGAGGUAUAAAAUGUACCUUGCAAACAAAGGAAGUUGGGGACUAAGAAAGGGCCAUUGAAUUUUGUCCAUAGUACAUGAUUGGUGAUAUUCACACUGGAGCUUAGCCAGGAGGCCGAGAAACAAUGUGACUGGUGAUGCUGAAUGGAGAAGAUGGUAGUGGAGCAAGAGCCGGAUAGCAUCUUAGCCUUGUCUGUUGCAGUCACCUCUCAACUGGGCUUUUUACGUCUAACCUUCUUUUUUCAACCAUCCUUCUUUCUACCCAAAAUUAUCUUUCUAAAAUCCACAUGUAGCGAUAUCACUCCUUCGGCUAAAAUGUUUCGAUGGCUUCCAUUGCCUUAAAGACUUCAAAGUUCUCCCAAUUUAGGUUACUCUCAACUGACACCCUCUGCUACAAUCACUUCUACAUUAUUUGCCCUUCUUUAGCAGGUUCUAUCUUUUAAUACCUUUUGCCUUUGCUAAUGCUCACCCUUUAAAAUAAAAUACCUUCUAAACUCCACCAAUGGCCUCACAACCUAUCUCAGUAAUCUCCUCCUGUGUGAGGCCACCCCUAAUCCUCCAGGCUAAAUGAGUGCCUCCUUUCCAUGCUUCCAUAGAACUUUUCAGCGGUUCUGUUGGAUUAUUGUGUCAUGUUAACUAAAUAACGAUUUGUUUAUACAUCAUGUCUCUCCUAAGGUGGCACAAACCCUGUGACAGUAUUAUUUUCAUUUUUACAGCCCCAGUACCUAGCAUUGUCCAUAUAUGUUGUUUAUCAUUGCUUUUGAAUGAAUGAAUGAAUGAAUGCAUGAAUGAAUGCAUAAGAUAGCUGCUAAGAUAGAAGAUGUCUGGGAAUGGAGAGAGAGCUGAGUGUGUUUGAAGGCAGAAUAGAAGGAAGAAGUCAAGGGAAAAGAUGGCUGACACCGAGAGAGGGAAAAGAGGAGUUAAUUAAUGGAGCUACAGCCCGAAGAAGACAGGAUGAAUGAUAUACAUAACAAAGAUGCUGAAGUAAGUCUUGGAAAGAAAAGGAGAUGAAGUUUUGCCCAUCACGGUGGCUCACAUCUGUAAUCCCAGCACUUUGGGAGGCCAAGGCAGGAAGAUCAAGAGGUCAACAGAUCGAGACUGUCCUGGCCAACAUGGUGAAACCCCGUUUCUACUAAAAAUGCAAAAACGAGCCAGGUGUAGUGGCGGGCACCUGUAAUCCCAGCUACUCAGGAGGCUGAGGCAGGAGAAUCACUUGAACACAGGAGGCAGAGUUUGCAGUGAGCUCAGAUUUGCACCACUGCACUCCAGCCUGUUGACAGAGCAAGACUCCAUCUUAAAAAAAAAAAAGAGAGAGAGAGAGAGAGAGAGAUCAGAAUUUUCUACUGAACCAGGAAACUGUGGACAGGAGACCAUAAGUGAAUUGAUAAUCGUUGAACCUCUUUGAUGUCCCAGGUACUGACACAGGUUCUUUAUGUAUCGUUGCUCAUUGUUUAGUAUUACAAGCUUUGGAAACUGUCCAUUCCACUUACAGAUGAUCAGGCCAAAUCAAAGGGUUUUAGGAUUUGGUUGUAGUCACAGAAGUUACAUUUGAACCCUAGGCUGUUUUCUCCCAGUCUCCUGCUUUUUCCAUGAAAUAAAAAUUGUCAGUGGUUGGAGGCCACAGUAGGAGAUCAGGAGGAUGAGGCAUUUUCAACUGUUAGGAGGUAAAAUUAAAAUGACUUAGAGUGAGUCUGGGCUGGAUUAGUAGGUAAGUGAAGCCAGAAUGCUGCUGACAUUCAUACAGGCAUAUUUUAUCCUGCUGCUUUACCAAUUUGGGCCAAGAAAGAAAAGGCCACUGUUAUUUUAGACUUUGCAAUAAUCUUCUGAAUGUUUCCAGCACUUUCCCUUGGAUUCAGGGAGAUGGUAUUAGAUACUUUAUUUCACAAAUACCCAUGAGGUACAUCUGCUACGUGCUCGGUAUGAGGAAUUUCCUAUGAGAUAUCAAAGAAGAAUCAGACGUAGUCCUUAAGGAAAAGAUAUUUUGAUGGAGCUUUGAUAGAAAGAAAAUCCCUAUUCUGUGAGGAGAAUAUUACAUAUGCUGUAAAAGUGAUUCAAAGAAAAAGAUGCGACAAUAAUUGAUCAGAAUCUAAUGAUAUGUGUGGAACAGAUUACAUUAAACCAAGAAGGCAGAAUUGGCAUUCAAUCAGAAAGAAAGAAAGAAAGAAAAGAGAGGAGGAGCAGAGAGAGGAGGAGCAGGG
rnacentral:lncRNA from 1 species